CAAGUGGUGUGAAGAAGGUGGAAAUCAGGAGUAAGCAGGUCCCUCAGAACUGUGUUGUCCUGGGAAGAAGAGAUGGCAGAAGAAUGCUGUGGAAGACAUGGCAGAAGAAGGCUGUGAGGUUGUAGUGAGGCAAUGUUCCUUUGACGUCUUGUGCACUGGUAAAGGUUUUUUCGUGGGGAAGAAGGAGUUGUUUGUGGUGUGAAUAUGAUCCUGUGAAGGUGCUGGCAGCACAGGGAGCUGAGAGCAGUGGAAGUCCAGAGGUCCAGGGCACCAGAGGAGGUCACCAGGAGCUGUCAUGCCUUAUAGGCCCUGCAAGAAAGAGAAAGGAAAAAUGAUUCAUUGUUUGAUGCAAGCCUCUGUAGCCUUUGGACCAGCUCUCUUGUUCUGCAGCACAGGUUCAUUCCCUUUGUGCUGCAGCUCUUGGUCACCCCAUCCAGCAUGGACAAAAAGGCUGCACAGCAUUCAGAAGUACUGA
rnacentral:lncRNA from 1 species